rnacentral:lncRNA from 1 species
CAGCUCAAGGAGCACCAUUGUAGCAAUUGAUAUCUCGGAUAAUACAACAAAGCAGGAGUAGGAGCUUUACCUCAACAACAGGACUCCGAACCUGGGUAAACACCGUGUGUCCUUAUUCUGUGCGUGGUUUACAUCACGUCUUCCCUCCUCCGGUUCCUCCUUCGUCCAUCGGCCCCAUCUCAAGCCAUUCUAUGGCAUCUGUCGUAGCACCACCACGACAUGCAGCGAGGUCCUUCUGUCGAUCCACCUCUCCAUUCUUCUCCUGGUUAAUCUCCGUUCGCUGCACCCACCCGCUCCGCUCCUUGGAUUCGCUGCAGGAACAUAACCCGAACUCUCCCCUUUAGCCCCGCAGCCGACGCCGAUUCCGACAACAAGGCGUCUACCAAGAACGAGGUAGGUUCCGCAUUAUCUUUCCUUACUCUCUUUGGCACUGUAGGUUUUAAUGACCAAUUUCAUGAAUCGUCUCUGAGAUCAUGGUCGAAGGAUAACAAAUUUUUGAGGUAGGGGAACUCGUAUACCCAGACAUAACAUUUAAUAUUUUUUAUUUUAUAGUUGUCAGUUUUUUUUAAUUUAUAUGGUUUGUAUUCUUUAAUUAGUCUUAUAAUAUUGUGUUUUUAACAUUUAAUAUUUUCACGUGUGGAUUUGCUUUGUUCUUUUUAAUUGAAUUUGAUAUUUGGAACCUCGCAAGCAUUCUGUAGUGUAGUAUGUCUCAUGCAAAUACAUAAACAUUUUCGCAUAACAUAGAUGUAUAAACCGACAAAUGCGACAAAUGAAGUUAUCGGGGGUCCAAAACUCCAUUAAAAAGAGCUGCAUGCAUGUUUGUGGUGUAAUAAUCUUGCUGCUAAAUAUUUUUGCAGUAAUCCAAUGUUUCACGUAACGAUAAAACUUAUCGACUCAGGUUUAUAAGAGUAACUAUAUAAUUAUAUUUUUCCUUUCUUCCAGAAACAUCUGCAUACUA